rnacentral:lncRNA from 1 species
GCAUUUCACUGACGGAAUCCCAGUAACCUGCUCUAAUCCAGGUUUCUUGGGAGUUUGAGCUGUGAACAUAGGAAGAUAGAAAGAGAAGGAGGGUGAUGAUCAUAGUGUUGCAAGCCAUUGAAGAAGAAGCUUACUUUUGCAACCCCAGCAGGACUCCUAAUCUGUAUCCGUGAGAAGUGAAACUCUUGGAUCUGGGGCCUCGUACUUUUCUGAAAGGUUAUUUGCUUGAAGUGUAAUAAACGAGAAUGUUUUUAGUCUUGCCAGUUAACGUGCAGUCUGUGUUUUUUCCUAGAAGGGACAAUCAAUGCUCAAUUAGUUAUCACCUUGAUCAUGUUGCCAUGUGGUAGGACGAAAAAAAAAAAACUAUAAGCUUUUUUAAUAUUUUUUGUUUUGUUUUUAUACAUGGUUUGGUGGCACCUUGUAGUUGUUAUUGUACAACGCUAUUUCCAGUCAAUUUUUACAUCCUAAAAAUUCAACCUUUCUUUUUAAUUUUGUCAAAGAAAGAUUAUUUAUAUCGAUGUUAGAAAAUUCAAGAAAAUUUCGCUUCCAAAAUGACUGGAUUUUGAUGAGAUAUAAAAGUGACGAUCCUAAAAUACCUGAUAGAAAGUCUAGUGAUUUGACCAGCUUAGCGUGUCCACAUUCCAUUGAUUCUUAGUUUUGAGGUCCAUCCAAACGAAUCAUUCUUUGCAUUAUCAAGUUAUAGUUCAUAUUGGAGUCCGGUUACUUUUAUUUUUUAAAUUUUAAAGUAUUUUUUAUAUUAAAAUAUAUUAAAAUAAUAAUUUUUAUUUUAUAAAAAAUAUUUUUAAAACCAGUGCAUUAAUACGAUACAAAAUAUAAAAGAAAUUAAUUUUUUAUAAAAAAAUAAUUUCAAACAUUUUCUUAAAGUAUUUUAAACUUGAAAUUUAUCUUAUUUUUUUAUUUAAUUUUAAAUAAAUAAAUAAAUAAAAAUAAUAAAAUUUAAAUAUAUAUUUAUUUGAUUGUUAGUUUUUAUUUAGUUUUGAUACUAAAUAAAAAAACUAUUUUUGCUUGUGCUAAGACCCCAGCAAAAAGGGAUGUGCUAGGAAGUUUUCAGUUACUUGCACAAGUACGUUUUGGCUUGCUCUUUGACAGGUGUCCUAAUUUCCCUCUUCAGACCAGAGAUGCUGAAACAUCUCGUCUUUCCCCUCUUUUAGCUGUUUGCAACCUCCACCUUGUGCAAAAGAAAGCAAGGAAAAUGAUGGUGCCAACAAAAAAAAGUCAUAACCGAGCCUGGCUGACAAGAGUCUCAACCGAGGCUGCCAACCACGAGCCCAACCGAGCUUGUCCUAAGCUCAACUCAACUGUUACGGGUUAUUUUUCGCUUCGUGAAUAAAAUCGUGUGGCAGUUCAAUUCCUCACUAAACUCAGCUUUUUCUUAUCAAUCUCAUUCAUGUUUAUCUAAUAACUAAGUAUUUUCUUGACGUAAGAGAUUUCUCUACUUUUCCAAAUUAAAAAACAAGUGAAAUAUACAAGUAUAUUGCACGCCACAAAGCAAAGCACACCGAAAAUACAAGAAGAACUCCAAUCCUUUAUUUAUCUCGUUAAUAAAAGAUUACACAAUGAGUAUGUUUGUUAUGCACAAAAAUCGUAUGCUACACAGCCAAGCUUACACACGUUAUUUCCUUCUACAAACAAGAGUUGUAAACAACUAUUUAUAGCCAAGUAUGUGAGCUGCAAGGCACACCUAUAAUCUCUAUUUUUAAGGAUUUAGUGGGACAUUUUCUCCCUCGUGAUCUCCAUGAUCUUAGUGGCCUAUUUUCUAGCAAGUAGUGCACAGUUGUUGCCCAUGAUCCCAUGAUCCAGUAGCGGGUAGAGCAAUCUCCUUGAUUAGCCCCCACGUUUUGCCCAAUGAUCCCAUGAUCUAGAAAGUUCAUAACUCCCACUCACCCGCAUUCUUGCAUGCAUACCUGGCAACCCCAACUACCAGUUCUUGUGCUGUUGAGUCACUUGUAUGUCUUGGACAAUCCUUUGUCCAAGUCUUAGAUCGUGCUAAGUCGAACCCAUGACUUGCACAAGCUGUUGUGCACUGUCGAAUUCGCAUCUACGUGCAAGCUGCCAAUUCCUGCGCUGUUAAAUUCCGCGAUAGCCCCAGUUCUUGUCAACCUAUCUCCUUGAUGAGUUUUCCUGCUUAGCCUAGAUAUUCCAUCGUCCAGCCUAUGUUUGUCAAUAAUCUACAUUAUUGAUUUUUCUUUGAUGAAUCUACAACUAGACAAAUCUGCUGCCAGUACCUUUAGAUACUGUUUUGAAUAGUCUUUUAAAGUGUGCACACACUGUUUUGAAUAGUCUUUUAAAGUGUGCACCACAUGCGCGUUUAACGGUGUUACACUAACCCUUUUAAUUUUCAAACGAACCCUUUUUUCCCGAACUCAACCUAACCCUCUCAUCUUUUAAUCGAAUCCUCUCUUUCUUGGCACAACUUAACCUUCACGUUUCCCGACCCAACUUUUAUAUUUUGACAGGGAAUUUAUUUCGCAGGCGAGUCAGUUGAAAAGCUAAAAUCUAGUAUGAGAAAGUCUCACGACUUCAUAGAAAAAAGAGAGAGGAAAGAGUGGAAACACAUUCAGGAGACAUCUGUGCUAAUAUUUGACCUGCGAAGCUUCUUGAAAGAAGCAUCAUUUGAGAAGUCAGCCACAGCUAUUUUGAUAAAACUUGUUGCGUGGGCUGGCAUCAAUAUAAUUCCACGUUCAAGAUUUCAAUCUAGAAAAGGAAUUGAUAACUUGUAGGGUCGCCAGAAUUGUCUUAGUACGUGAAGACUUUUGUGUAAGACUUGUGGUGGCCUUUGAUACGUCGACAGGAGCAGUCUAUCAAAGUUUUUUUCAUAUAAAUUUUAUUUUGCUAUGACUGAUGAAUUUUAGCGGUAUCAAAAAGGUGGCCUGAAGGAGGAAUUUGAGUCCUAGCAAAAAGGGAGAGCCGAACCCGAAUCUUUAUCGUUAAAUAUCACAACUAAAAUGCAAAUAUAUAAUCAUACACCUUUAUUUCGACAUUAUAACUUUACGUAUAGCAAGGUGUCCCAACACAUAAGGCCAGUGAGCAAAUUUAUUCAGAACUAACUGCUUAGUGGAAAGAGGCAUAUUGCAUGGCAUUAUAGUUCAGUUACGGAGUUGUUUGAUAAUAAUCUAGAAAAAACACAACGAGCUUGCUGUUCAAGUCUGUAAACAGAUUUAGCAUUUGCUUCAAGCUUCUGCAAGAAAGUACUUCCUCAUCGCCCGACGACUUGCGAGAUUGUUGCAUCAUCAACUGAACAAAUAUUUAAGUGCAAUUGCUCAGGUCUGUUUUCGUCAUCUUCAUCUGUCCUCACAGAAAAAGCAGGCCUUUUGGGAAUGGUCACAAUGGCAGUUUCGUUUUUGAGCAUUGAAGAAACUUCCACCAUAGACGGCCUAUCAAUAGGAUUUUCUUGGACACAUAGCAGUGCAAUUUGCAAGCAUUUGAUCAAUUUACAAGAGGACAAUGUGUCAUCCAGCGAUGGAUCCAUGAUCUCCAUGCCUUUACCAUCUUUCCACAGCUCGUAAGCCUGCAAUUAACAAAAAUCAUAAUCAUGCAUGACAAAUGCAAAAUCUAAAAUAUCGUCAGUUGUGUUCUCAAGAAACUUACAUAUUCUAGGAGGCUUAAAUUUUCACCAGAACCAUACAAGGAGCCAUUCUUCUUGCCGCUUAUGAUAUGCAGUAGUACCACUCCAAAACUGUAAACAUCAGAUUUUAUGGAAUACACGCCGUUUCUGACGUAUUCCGGAGGAACAUAACCGCUGCACAGGAUGAUUUCAUUCACAAUGUUAAGUUUUCAAAAAUAAUUUAUGUAUGAAAUGAAUUUGUGCAUGAGGCUUACUAUGUCCCAACAACCCGGCUAGUGUUUGCUUCUUGUUCAUCUUUUGUGAAAAUUCUAGCCAUACCAAAAUCAGAUAUCUUAGGCUUCAUAUCCCCAUCCAGUAAAAUGUUGCUGGCUUUCAAGUCUCGAUGGAUAAUUGUCAGUCUCGAAUAUUCUUGGAGGUACAGAAGGCCUUGAGUUAUCCCUUCAAUGAUUUCUGCCCUUUUCUUCCAAUCCAACAAAUAUCGCCUAAUCGGAUCUGUCAUAUCAGAUAACAAACUAUCAAGGCUAUAAGCAUUUUCGAUCUUACUGACACGAACAUGCAUAAGAAUGUCGGAAAUUGUAAUGCAAUGAAAGACUAGAUCACACUCAAAUCUUUUUUUAUUUCUGUAAAGCGAAGCAUAAAAGGAUGCUGAGUGCUAACCAUAUAGGUAACAGUCCAGGCUUUUUUUUGGCAUGUACUCAUAGAUCAGCACCUUCUCUUCUCUGCCAACGCAAAAUCCCAAAACUUUCACGAGAUUUACAUGUUGUAAUUUUGCAGUGAGCAUAACCUCAUUCUUGAAUUCAUCAAAUCCUUGAGUAGAGGAUUUCGAAAGUUUUUUCACUGCUAUUUCUUGUCCACCUGGUAAAACACCCUGGAAAAACAGAAUGUCAUGCUAAUUUCUUUCACUCAAAGACUGAAAUCUGAAUGCUUGAAGAAUUUUAAUGAGUUUUCGGUAUAUUUUCAUCACAAUAGAAAAAGAAUUGUUACAGCAUUUAUAUUAUAUGCUAACUAUAUCUUCUCCUAUAUUUAAGCUACUGGAAAGUUAAAAUAGAAUUGAAGUCUAUCUCUAGUAUACGAGUUUAUCACAAUAUCAGUUUGCAAGUUAUCUUGAAUAUGCCUCCUAUAUCUUCCUGAUUCAACAGUUUGAAAGUUAUCUCCAAUAAAGAUAAGCAUGUCUUAUCCCUGCAAAAGAGAGAGAGUUUUCUAAAUGGCAGGAGACAGACACUUAAUGACUCCAUUUUCACAAGUGGAACAUGUCUCUAGAAAUGCUUACUCACAGUCCAUUCUUGCAAAUGGUUGCAUAUCUCCAUGAAUCCUCAACAAAAUAUAGCAUCAUGAGUUGAAGAGUAAUGUCCCAUUGUAACCUAUAAAGAAUUAGUUAAUUACCUUGUAAACAGGGCCAAAUCCACCCUCCCCAAGCUUAUUUUCAAAUGCAAACUGGUCUGUAGCUUUCUCAAUAUCUGCCAAACUAUAUUCUAUCAGAUCAGGAUUAUUGUCUGUCGAAGUCGCCUGCUGCUGCCGCAUUAUUUACUUUCAACUUUGUUUCUUUACUCUUUGAUUUGAGGAUUCUAAUUCUUAUGAAAUAAAAUGCCAAGCCCAGUAGAAUAAUAACAGCAGCAGUUGUUGUCAAGAUGAUAAUCAAUAUACGGGAUUUUGGUCGUCCUUCGUGUUUGGGGUCAACCCCUCCACCUGAGUCAACCCCCCCAGCUGAGGACAUAGACAUAUUAUGUGAAUUAGCGAUCAGAAUUGUCUGUGUCCAGUAAAUUUUAAAAGAUUAUUCAAGGAUGAUAAAAGAUUAUUCAAGAAAGAUUUAAAACAAAAUGAUGCAGAUGUUUUGCAUAAAAAAAUGUAAUCACAGAUUAUUCAAGGAUGAUAAAUCAUUAUUUUUUGGCAGCCAGAUGGUACCAAUUGUCGAAUUUAUAUAGGCAGACAAUAUCCAACCAUCUAAACACACAAAAGAUUAAAAAAACUGCAAGUAGGUACACAAUCCUGCAUUAUAUAUGACAAGCCUUAAUGACAAAUAGCUGAUGAUGGCCUUUUGGUUUUACCCUGAAGCAAGUAGGAAUUCAUAAGAAUUCAGAUAAAAAGAAUAUCUGGCAAGAUUCUCUAUAUAUUGCACAUUAACAAUCAAAUUAAUCAAUCAAGGCCAACCUCUUGACAUCAUUGUUAUCACGAUGGUCAAAGAACCAUUUUGUGGCUUAAGAACAUUCCCAUACCUGCUUGAGAGAGUACCCAGUUGUCAUCUUGAGAGACUUCCCAUACAACAUAUCCCAGGAGGGCCUUCUCCUUGGCAUAAGAAACCUUAGUUCUAACAACAUCAACACCAUCAAAACUAAUCCAAGUUGACCCUACGAUGCCGUAAUUUACCACAUAAGUGGAAUUGUAGAUAGGAUCAACUCUUCCGUUUGCUUUGAAAUAAUUAUUGAUAACUUUAUAGCUCAUGGAUCCAUCUUCUGUAACGGCUGGUCCAGUUGCUGGUGCGCCAAUGGCAUUUUCAUUCGGGCUUGCAAGUUUCCACGCAUAACCAUAGAAAGGCAAACCUAAAACCAACUUACUAGCCGGUAAUCCUCCAUUAAUCCAUGCUCUUAUUCCAAAAUCAGUGUUAACAUCACUAUCAGGAUCAUACAAAGCUGCAAAAGCAGCCGUGAAGUUAGCCCAUGUAGGCAUGAAGUAGUCAAAAGCCAGCACAUGAGUCCAAUUCAAAUUCUUCCGUAUAGAGUCUAUAGGGAAACUCCCGGAAUCCAGUCUUGGCGAGUACUGAACGGCUGCUGUCAGGAUGAGUUCUGACAGGCUAGAGUUUCUUCCCUCCAAAGCAAUAGCAGCACGCCACUCUUCGAAGAGGGUACCCAUACUGUCCAUGUUAUCGCUUGUGCUGGCCGAAACCCAGCUGAAGUCUAGCCCUUGAAAGCCAUAAUGCCUCGCUAUUUUUAUUGAGUCAUCUAUGAAAAACUUCCUGUAAGUAGAAUUGCCUGCCAUUGCAGAGAGUGUUGAAUAGUUUGUGCUUCCUCCUCCAAUGGAUAGUAAGGUAGUGAUCGAUGGAUUCUUCUGUUUUACGGUGUUUGUGAAGGCAGAGAAGAGUGGGUCAUCUGAGGAGGAGAUAGACAGGUGAUACGAAGAUGAAUUAAGGCCAGCAAAAGCACAAAUAAGGUGAGUAUAGAGGGUAGAAUUUAUGUCAGAAAUUGGGAGGUCACUGCCAGAAAACCAAUAGCCAGCUUUGAUCCAUGCUUGUGCUUUUGCAGGAUGCAAUUUUAAAGAGAGAAAUACAUGAAAGAGGAUGAUGAUAGUAAUUCUCGAUACCAUUGGAGCUUGCUUGAUAAAAAUACAAGGAAGGCAAAUGUACAAAGACAAAAGCAUGUAAAUGUUCCAGUCAGGACUCGGUUCUCAGUGCCACCGUUACCGCGUUCCCGUAUGUCACGGUUCCGCCAUGCUUUUUUAUUUUAUUUUUUAAAAACAUUUAAAUUAGUAUUUUUUUAAAUGUUUUUUAAUUGUCUUAAUUUAUUGAUUUCAAUAAUAAAAACAUUUUUAAAAAAAAAUAUUAUUUUAAUAUAUUUUAAAAUAAAAAAUAUUUUAAAAAAUAAUAUUUACUAAACUAUCAAACUUGCUUUAAACUAGACUCCAUUAAAACUUUGUAUUUUCUAUUUUAAAAAAUAAAAUAAUUUUAGUUUUAUUUUAAAAUAAAAAUUUUAAAAAAUGUUGUUAACUCAAAUGAAACUUAAUUAAGACACCUCAAUCGUUACCAAAUCGUUUUAGAAACUUGAAAUUGUAAUAACGGUGAUAGUUUAAAAUAUUUUUUGUUUAAAAAUAUAUCAAAAUAAAAAAAAAUAUUUUUUAAAAAAUAUUUUUGACAUUAGUAUAUUAAAAUAAUUUUAAAAAAUAUAAAAAAAAAUUUAAAUAUAAAUAAUUUUAAAAAUAUAGGUGUAUUCAGGAUGCAAUUUCAAUUUUAAAAUAUAAUUUCGAUAGAAAUAAUAGUUUUUCAAAAAUGUAUUAAUGAUAAUAAUAUUUUUUAAUUUUACCCUUCAAAUUAAAUCUAUGGUUGCUUUUCAAUAUUGAUAAUAAUAUUUUUCAAAUUUAUUGAUUAUUUUAUUAAUAAUAUUAUUUAAAAUACAAAUAAAAAUGUUUUUAAUAAUAAAAAUAAGAAUAUUUAUAGAACAAAUAAUAAUAUUUUUUAUAUUAAUACUUUUAAUUAUAAUACAAAUAAUAAUAUUUAGAAAUUUAAGACUCAAGAACCUUGGAUCCUAACACUGCACCCAAGAGAAUUGAAUCUUGAUGCAGGACCCAUUAGUCUUAGGUCGUGACAACAGACCCAACAGAAUUAGAUCCUGACAAUGAAUCCAAGAGAAUUAGGUCCUGAAAAAGCACAUAAGAGAAUUGUGUACCGCGAUCGUGGCUGCAGACCCAAGGUGCAUGGGUCUUGUCAUAAUGACCAAUGCAUGGUAACCCCAGCGCCAGGUGUCUACACCCUCAGGCAUGCUAAGAUACAGGGCCCAACAUUGUUGGGUCCUAAUUUUAAGGCAGGCCUAAAAAAUGUGCGUCCUUCUCGAGGUCGGGCCUAAAAUUGUUGAACGCAACUAGGACCUUCUGCUAAGGCAAGCCCAUAACACAUUAGCUUUAAGUCUUGUAACCAAGCAGGAUCCAAUAACGUUAGGCCUCAUUGUCCUAUUGGAUAUAAGAUCCAUGGCUAUUGGGUUCGGUUGUGUAUCAGCACCCAACACUAUUGGUUCCUACUGGGCACCCAACACUAUUGGUUCCUACUGGGCAGCAAUUCCUACCUCCAGCAGGAAAUUUAAAUUUUAAAAAAUAUGUUGAGAUAAUUUUUUUAUUUUUUAAAAUAUAUUUUUUAUAUCAUCAAAUACAAAUAAUACAAAAACAUCAAAAAAAUAUUAAUUUAAAUUAAAUAAAAAUGUUAAAAAAUUGAAAAAACUUUAAGCAUUUUUUAAUCGAAAAAACAAACAUUCUUUAAUAAAAAAAUUCAACCCAACCUGAAAUGAAAAACAAUUAUCAUAACCCAUCUUUUGCACAAUAUAAAAAAAAGUCUCAUUAAUUUAUUUCUUCUUUACCGUAUGAAAAAUAAAAUUAAAUCAGAGAAAAGAGAAGAAACCUUAGACCCAGUUAUAUUGGAAAUAUCCUAAAAUAUUUUUUAAAAAAAACAUGUAUUGAGAUGAUAUUUUUUUUUUGUAAAAUCUAUUUUUUAUAUCAUCACAUCAAAAUAAUACAAAAACAUCCAAAAAUAUUUAUUUGAAGUAAAGAAAAAAAAUACCAAAUUCUUUUUAAAUAUUUUUUGAAAAGCAAAAACAAACAUGUUUUAAUAAAAAACUUCAACCCAACCUCAAAUGAAAACUAUUAUCACCAGCCAACUUUUGUACAAUAUCAAAAAAGUCUCAUCAAUUUAUUUCCUCUUUACAGCAUGGAAAAAAAAUUAAAUAAGAAAAAUAAUUUAAAGAUAAAAAAAAUAAAAUUGAAAAUAUCUUAAAGAUGAAAAAAAAUUGGAAAUCCUAAACCCAAUGAUAUUGCCAAGCCAGACCCAAUAUAUGAAAAAACAAAUUAGAAAUAUCUUAAAAUAUUUUUGUAAGAAAAUAUAAUGAAAUAAUAUUUUUUAUUUUGUAAAAUCUAUUUUUUUAUAUCUUCACAUAAAAAUAAAAAAAAACAUCAAAAAAAUAUUAAUUUGAAUUAAAGAAAAAGGUUAAAAAUUUUGAAAUGUUUUUUUAAGCAUUUUUUAAACGAAAAAACAAACUUGUUUUAAUAAGGAAGUUUAACCCUACCUUAAAUGAAAAAAAAUUAUCAUCACCUAACUUUUGUACAAUAUAAAAAAUAUCUCACCAAUUUUAUUUUUUUUACCAUAUGAAAAAAAAAAUUAGAGAAAAAAAAAUCACAAACUAAAUAUCCUUGGGUAUGGUUGCGCAGCCACACCCAAGGAUAUUGGGUCCGGCUGCCCAACCAGGCCCAAGAUUGAUAUAUCUUUUGGAAUUGAUUUGGGUCCAGCUGGCCAACCAGACCCAACAUUAUUAUGUUAUAUUAGGCAAGAAGAUCCAAUGUUAUUGACACCUUUUGGAAGUGUUUUGGGUCUAGCUUAGUAGCUGGUUGUAGGGUCCAGCGGCCAAGUCAUACCCAACAACUUUUGGUAGAGAAGGUAAUGCCCCUAGCCGUAAUUCUUAACUAAAAAUGCAACUUCUUGACCAUUUAGAGUGCUAUAGUGUCGUCUGCAGUACAAUGUAUUUGUAUCCACAAUAAAUGCAUAAUACCCCCCCCCCCCGUGUUUUAAUACAUAGCAAAACCCAAACAAUGCAAUACACAAUGAAAUCACUCACAAUCUACAAUAAUUCACUAAUCUUUUUUAGGUUUUUUUAUAAUAUGAACACAUGUAAGUUGUGUGUGGAAAUUUAUGCUAUUUGAUUUUGCUAGUAUCAUAUCAGACCUAAUAAAGCUAUAAAGAUCACAGGGAAUAUUAUAGAAGAAAUUAUUUCUAGAGAUCCCUGUAGAUCAUUCAUAAUGUAUUCUACGACCUUCACUUUUCAGAUUGUAUCAGCUUCCUCUUUAAUAAAUAUCUUAUGGGGUUGUAAAUCUUCUCUUAAAUGAAUGCUUGCACAAAGUCUUUUAGAGAUCCCUAACGGUGUUGUUAGAAGACCCUUCAAAGAUCAAGUCAGUACGAUGUAUUUUGUAUGAUAAAAAGAUAUUAGUAAAGGUAUUAAUGAGCUUUUGUAAAGAUAGAAAAGAAAAAGGAGAAGAAGAUGUAGAUGUAAGGGAAGAAGAGAAUAAAUGUGUUCAUGUCUAAGAGCAUAAGGUUUCGAACCUCUUUUUUGUGUACUCAAGCUUCCUUUUAUACUACAUGUCUUGACUUGCUUCAUACGAUAUGUUAGGGGUAGAAAUGUAAUCUCGUAAUGAUAGAAUAAUAUUAUUAUAUUGUUGAAACUAUCACAUCUCAUUAAUAUAAGCAUGAACUACUUGUUCAUAAUUAAUUGGAUGUGAUGAGUAUCAUAAUCACUAGCCCAAACCUAGAGUAAGGGAGGCUUAGAGUGAUGUUACUUUUCAGCUAUACACUAAACUUAGAUGCAUUUGGGUUCAGUUUGUACAUUCAACUCAAGUGUAUUCGGGUUCAGCAGUACGCCAAAUUCAAUAGGAGUUGGGCUCAGCAUGACGUUGAACCCAAGAGGAAUUGGAUUCAGCGGUACGACGAUCUCAAUAGGAGUUGGGUUCAGCUUUAACCCGAACCCAAGAGAAAUUGGGUCCAAUUAUACACUGAACCCAAGAGGAAUUAGGCGCAUACAUGCCUCAUCCCAACUAGAGUUGGGCGUGAACUUGUCCUAACUCAACUUAGAGUUGGACGUGGAUGCAUCCGGGCCCAACUUUAAGUUAGGCAUGAACAUGUCACAGCUCAAUUUAGAGUUGAAGCUAAACGUAUUCUGCUCCAAUACAAGAUUGGGUGUAGAGAAAACAUAACUUAAUUUUAUAUUCAGAUUUUCAUGUGAUGUGAUGGUGGGAGGUUUUUAGAAAACCAUGACCCAUCAAGCCAUAGAGACCAAACAGCACGGCUGAGAGAAAAAGGCAGGCAAUUACGUGGAGAUGGAGUGUGGGGGCCAGGGUCAUAUCAAUUGCAAUUACUUCUUGGUAGGUUUUGUUUUGUUUCUUCAGAUUUCUAGAUUCAACAUUAAAGGUUCUUAUAAGAAAACAUUGCCAGCCCUCUUGUUUUCUUGGUCUAGCUUGGGCUAAAUGUCAAGGAAAGGGGUAGCUGUCUCCCUUAAUUUCUAGACUCAACAUUAAACGUUCUUUUAUAUAUAUAUAUAUAUAUAUAUAUAUAAAAGUCCUAAUUUGGCCCCUUUCAUUGUUCUCCUUUGCAGUUUUCUCAUGAUUUUGAGACAAUUUAAUCGCAAACCAACAUAGAGAUGCAAAAAUAGAAGUGCCCCUAGCUAGAUCAUUUGUAAUUCCAGAAAGGUAAGAAGUUAAAUUUGAAACAGUAAAUCAUUUUAAUUAGUGGCUUAUAUAUCCAUGUUUAAUAACGUACUUAAAUAAUUUUUUAUAAUUAAAUGAAGCCAGGUGAUAUUUUAUAGUACUUUUUUAAAUAAAUAAGUAUUAAUUAUUAAUUGUUUCCAUAAAAAGUAUGAAAUAUUUAUCUUAAAUUAAUUUAUUAUCCUCUAUUUAUAAAUUAGAUGACCACAUGAGAAUUAUUUUUUUUUUUUUUGAAAAAGUGUAGGUUGAAGAAGACUUAAUUUGAUUUGAUCCGACAGAUAUAUGUAACUUUAAACCAUUAAUGUCUUAGAGAUCUACAAAUAUAAUAACUUAAAGUACACAAACUUAUCAUGGCUCAGAUAAUUGCAAUUUUACUACCUGAGACAUUUAUUUUUCUCAUUUCAGUAUAUUGAGUUUUUCAAUUUCACCAAAAAUAGAAUUUUCAAAUUAAAAUUCUUUGGUAAAAAUAAAUUCAAAUUAUGCAGCUCUUUGGUAAGAAGAAGAAGACAGUACUCAAUCAUUCAUUUUUGUCAUUAUCAACACUUAAACCUCCUUGUUGGCCAAUGCAAGAGUUAAUACUAGUUGUUGGCCAAGAAGAAGAUUUUUUUUAAAAUGAGAUGAUCAAAUAUUUUUUUUAAUUUUUUUUAAUUUUUUAUAUAUAUAUAUCUCAUUGUAUGACUAUAUAAACUUUACCUAAUUGAAUGUAAUAUAUAUUAUCAAAUAAUAAUAUCUUUUUUCUAUUUUAAAUUUCUUCUAAUCACAGCUGCAUUUUAUGAUUGCUUAGAGCUAUUGGCAUCAGAUCUUAGCCAUAAUUAUUUUUACUGGAAGUAAUCCAGAAUAUUAGAGCUAUUGGCAUCAGAUCUUGGCCAUAGUUCUAUAAUGGCUGCGUUUUUUUCUUUCAAAUAAGUGACGCAAAUGAGAACAAAAGAAAAAGAAAAACACAAAAAGAAGAAAGAAAGACUUAAAUCAAACUUUGAAAUGUUUACAAAGUUUGAUUUUUGUAUUUUGAGUUGACCUCUAGGAACUUCUAAUUCCAGUCUUUCAAGAUAAGCGACAGGUCAGUUUUUUCUUUUGUAAAUGUUUACAACUCUUUAAAUACAUCAUAAAUCAAACUUUACAAACUUAAAAAAAUCAGAAUCCCAAGUCAAAUAAAAAAUACAAUAUAAAAUCCAGAAUCAAGCUAAAAAUCUAAAAAAAGAAGAAGAAAAUAUAUGGACCAUAGUAACAUAAUUGCCCAGUGGGUAUAGAGUUAUCCCUCCAAAGUUUGUUUCAUCAUCUUCUCAAUUAGCUGACAUCUUUACCAGGCCUCUUGGCAAAGAGGCAUUCUGCUAUAUCCUAGACAAGUUGGGGUCUAUCCAAUCUACAUGCUCCAACUUGAUGGGGAAGUAAUUGGAUUUCUAGAACGGCUACUUCUCUUGAUUCAUGCGGGGGAUCUCGAGCUUUAAUGAGCUUUCCUCACAUGUAAGUCAAUGAUCAUAUCAUCCUGUAAACACCCUUGAUUGUAUACAUCUGGAUUCUUUUCUCUUUUACCUUUGAUACGGGGAUUAUUCCAUGUAAGGAUUGCUAUCUUUACAUAUAAAUAGCUGUUAUAUGAAAUGAAAAUUAAGCCUUUUGGGCUAGCACUUGAUCUAUGAGAACCUACAAUAAAUAUGCAGAAAUUCUUGCCUGGAGAUUCUUGAGCUUCACGAUUCUUGUUCUCCUCUUAUUUUAUUUGCUAAGAGAUCAAGUGAGGAAUCCCGUUAAUUAAUUGUGGCAUCCAAAGAAUGAUAUUGACUUCGAAACAAGUUGGAGAACAAGGAUAAACGACAGUAGGAACUAAAGUUCUGAUGAGGUUACGUCUCAGAAUUUGGCAAUUACAACAGAGCUAGGAAUAUAGUCUUUCCUUUUUGCGCAAGGCUGCUGACUAUACAUCAAACACGAGAAAAACCAUGUUCAUAUUUAUCAUUUUUAUUUUGUUGAGAAUAAAGUUUCAUAUCAAGUAGUUUUAUUAACAAAGAAAUAGCAGUUUCCAACUUUCACCCUUGCCUUUUUGUCUACAUUGGAUCAGCAGAAGCCGUUUUCCUUGACUCCUGCCCGGCAUAAAAAACAUGGAAAUCACAGACCUUCACAAUACCUUUCAUUGUUCGUGCAGGAAAAAAAAAUCUAAAUAGAAAGAAACAAUUUUAACCAAGAAGUUUGACACAUGACCAAGGGUAAGUCACGUACGGUCACCUUGAUAAAAGCAGAGAAAACAGAGAAAUAACCCUUCUCAGUUCUCACCCUACCCUAUCUCUAUCUAACCAAAAAAUCGAGACAGCUUCUUCUUCUUUUUGUAGAAAAUCUUAUUGCACCAUUGCUUAAUGCAUACGGCAAGGAAUAUGAGGCUGAUUGGUCAGAUUAACCAAAUUUGUUUUGUUGCCACGCACAACAUCCUAUUCAAUCUUCGUGGUUUUGUUUUUCCUUGGAGAAGAAAUGCCCUUAAUUUUCCUUUUCUAGUUUGCUACUUUCCUUACGACUAUUCCCUUAAUGUUAUUGAGAUAGAAAGGGAGGGAACUUCUGAGAAGAUAUACAUGCUAUUAUGGUUUCAUAUCUACAAGCUGACUUUUGAAACAAUCAUCGAGACGAGUGCUUUUCCCUAAAUGCUGUUCUGAUAAUUGCGAUUGACACUAAAAUGCAGGUUGAUUCUGCUUUGCAUGAAGUAAAAAUGAGGGCUUCUAUCCAAAGCACUGGGUUCUCAUUCCAACUGUUGUAUACAUCUGGUUGUAAAGCUAUAGUAAAUGAUCUUACAUUGAUGUGAGCUAUGGACCCUUUUUGUUAGCCAACAAUCAUUAAGAUACAAAAGAACAGGAUCUAUCAUAAUAACUUAGAAAGAAUACAUACAAUUAGUUCAACCAGGAAGAAAAAAGGAGAGCUCUUGAGUUCUGUUCAUGAAAGCCUUUACUUCAGCGAGGUUCCAAGUCAGAUAUUGUUGCGUCAUUCACAGAAUAAAUUUUAUUCCUGAGAACACUGUCCUCCUCUUCAUCUCUUUUGGUUGAAAAAGAAGGCCUUUUUGGAGUGGCGAUAGGUGCAUUUUCAUUUUUUAGCAUCGAAGAAAUUUUUAACAUAGAUGGCCUGUCCAAAGGAUUUUCUUGGACGCAUAAUAGAGCAACUUGCAGGCAUCUUGUGAGUUUACAUGAUGAAAAGGAAUCGUCUAGCGAUGGAUCGAAAAACUCCACGCCUUCACCAUCUUUCCAUAAUUCAUAUGCCUGAAACAAUUUGAUAACCAUAUUGGUAUUCAAAUGCGGACUAUGGGAGAAAAAAAGUGAAUUAUGCAUUCAUAUAUUGGAAAAGAUGUGACUGAUCACUUACAUAUUCAAGAAGGUUCCAGUUUUCGUCUGCACCAUAGUAACAUGUACUCCUCUUGCCACUUAUGAUUUGCAGGAGAAGAACUCCAAAGCUGUAAACAUCAUAUUUCAUGGAGUAUAUGCCUUUUCUUACAUAUUCAGGGGGGACAUAACCACUGCAAUUCAAAAAAUAAAUAAGAAUGAGAAGAUUUAGCAAACAGUUCAUGUCGAAAUAUAUACCACUUUGAGACAAUUUCCUUACUAUGUUCCAACUAUCCUGCUUGUGUUUGCUUCGAGUUCAUCUUUCCUGAAGAGCCUAGCCAUACCAAAGUCUGAUAUCUUAGGGUUCAUUUCCUCAUCCAAUAGAACGUUGCUACUCUUUAUGUCUCGAUGAAUAAUGGUAAAAUUUGAGUAUUCUUGGAGAUAUAGAAGCCCUUGAGUAAGACCUUCAAUGAUUGAACGCGUUUUCUCCAAUCUAACAUGUAUCUUCUGACUGGAUCUACAUCGAAGUAGACCUUAAACAAUUAUUCGAGGUACAUUUAGAAGGUUGGCCAAACUAAGCUAGAGAAAAAGAUUCUACUGACCAUAGAUGUAGAAAUCCAAGCUCUUGUUCGGCAUGUACUCGUAGAUCAGCAUCUUUUCUUCCCUCUCGGUGCAAAAUCCCAAAACUGUAACUAUAUUCACAUGUUGAAGUUUUUCUGUAAGUGUGACCUCAUUUUUGAACUCCUCUUCACCUUGAGUCGAAGUUUUUGAUAGUCUCUUCACUGCUAUUUCCUUUCCGUUUGGUAGUUUACCCUGGCAAAGCAAAUGCCUCAAGCUGUCAUGUUUUCGUCCUUUCAAAGUCAUUCAAGACAAUUACUUGCCAAUAUUCUGUACCCUCGACAUCCUUCUUUCGUAUAGAAUAUAAACAUACAGCUUAUAUGUAAUUAGUGUUCUGCAGUGAAAGAAUCAGAACGCAUUUAUAUUUUGCCAAAUUUAUUUACCUUGUAGACAGAGCCAAAUCCACCUACUCCAAGUUUUUUUCACUCGAAAAGUUAUUAGUAGCCGCAGCAAUCGUAUCAAAACUGAGUGCUUGCAGAUUUGGAGCAUCGCUAUUAAUAGCUCUAGUAGCAGAUACUUUGAUUUUCACUGCAGAUAGUGAUUUUUGGACACUCCCAGCAAUUUCUGUUACCAUGAAACAAAUCAAAGAACUAACUGUAUCUUAAUCCUGUUGUAAUAAUUGCUGAACCAACUCAAAAUUUUGGUUAAUAUAUUUGGAAAAUUGUCACAACGGGAAGAUGUUACCUUUUGAGCCGAGUUUUUUCCUUCUAAAGUAACAACAAAUUAUGGUGCCCAACACGAGAAAGACCACAGCAAUCGUAACCAGAAUAGGUACCAAUACCUUCCUCUUGUUCAGCCCAUCUUCAUCUUUUCCCUGAGCUGCGAGCAUUUAUCAUCAUUAAGUAUUGUUUUAUGAUAUCUUUCUAUUGCAGUGAAAGCUCAUUUACUCUAUAAAACACACCUCACAGAACUUAGUAUUGCAGGGGAUGGCAUUUGAUAAUUCAAAAGCAAUUGAAACAUCUCUAGUCCGGUGUUUUUUUUAAAAUAAAGAGGAUAAAAUGGGGGAUCGAAAUUUCCACGAACAACCUACCUGCUCGAGAAAGAAUCCAAUUAUCGUCAUUGGAGAGCUGAAAUACGCUGUAACCACUAAGAUUGUUUUCCUUUGCAUAAGAAAUCUUAGCCUUGAUAGUCUCCACAUCAUCAAAAUUGAUCCAAAUCGACCCAACAACGACAAGCUUCGUAACAUAGGUAGAAUUGUACACUGCUGCAGCUCCAUAGCCAUAACCUUGAAUGAAAGAUUUAAUAUUCUUAUAACCCAUGGAACCAUCACGUGUUACAGCUGGACCCGAGGAGGGUGCCCCAAACUCUUUUUCGUUGGGGUUCACCAGUGUCCAUGCAUAACCAUGGUAAGGCAAACCCAAAACCAGUUUGCUAGCAGAUAAUCCUCCUCUUAGCCAUUCCUUUAUCCAUUCAUCGGUGUUAACCCAAUUUGAAGUGCCAUAUAAAGCAGCAUGUGCACCAGUAAAAUUAAAUUCUGCAGGCACAUGAUAGUCAUAUGCAACAAGAUGUAUCCAAUCUAAGGUCCUUUUCAUGAUGUCAAUAGGAUAAGUAGCCGAGUGCUGAGCAGGCGAGUAAGUAGCUGACAUUACCAAGAGCAACUGUGACUUGCCAGAUUUUCUUGAAUCAGAAGCUAUAGCGUCUCGCCACUCAUCGAAAAGGAUUCCUAGAUUGGUCAUGUUGAUGCUCAUACUUGGCCCAACCGAAAGGUCUAGGCCAUCAAAACCAUAAAGCCUCGCUGUAUAUAUCGAGGACUCGAUAAAAGACUUUCUAUAAGAAGACUGAUUUAUCAUUGAGGAAAAAGUUGGAAGACCCCCUCUCCUAGCCAAGAUGGAUAGAAGGGUUUUAACUGAAGGGUUCUUAACCCUGACAGUGCCUGUGAAGGUGGAGAAGUAGGAUUCUUUGGAAGAGUUAAUAUGAAUAUGAUAAGUAGAAGAAUUUAUACGAGAAAAGGCACAUACAAGGUGAGUAAAAAGAGCAGAAUUGAUAUUAGAAACGGGCAUUUCACUGAAGGAAUCCCAGUAACCUGCUCUAAUCCAGGUUUCUUGGGAGUUUGAGCUGUGAACAUAGGAAGAUAGAAAGAGAAGGAGGGUGAUGAUCAUAGUGUUGCAAGUCAUUGAAGAAGAAGCUUACUUUCGCAACCCCAGCAGGACUCCUAAUCUGUAUCCGUGAGAAGUGAAACUCUUGGAUCUGGGGCCUCGCAUUUUUCUGAA